AGAAGUUUAGGAUAUUAUAGUCCAAGAGCCUUCAAAGCCCUAAGUAAGUGAUAACAACUUAACUUCUG
rnacentral:tRNA from 1 species